UACGUAGGGACCAAGCGUUGUUCGGAUUUACUGGGCGUAAAGGGCGCGUAGGCGGCAUGACAAGUCACUUGUGAAAUCUCCGGGCUUAACUCGGAACGGCCAAGUGAUACUGUCGCGCUAGAGUGCGGAAGGGGCAAUCAGAAUUCUUGGUGUAGCGGUGAAAUGCGUAGAUAUCAAGAGGAAUACCUGAGGUGAAGACGGGUUGCUAGACCGACACUGACGCUGAGUGCGCGAAAGCCAGGGGAGCAAACGGG
rnacentral:rRNA from 1 species